GGUGGUCCAAUGAAGAUCCAAUGGCCAGAAUAAAAUGAUACAGGUAUAAUACGAAUUCUAAGAUUUUUAGGACUACUUUUACUACCAGAAAAAGAUAAAAAAUUUACCUAUAAAUAGGUAGUCUGAAAAUAAGAGAAAAAAGAAGAGAAAAUUAAUAAAAAAAUAAAAAAAAUAAAAAAGUUUAGAGACUCAAGGGGAAGAAGAAGAGAAGCCAGUUCGCUCUAUGGAGUACGAAGGAAGAGGGGG
rnacentral:lncRNA from 1 species